AGCGAACGCUGGCGGCAGGCCUAACACAUGCAAGUCGAACGAACUCUUCGGAGUUAGUGGCGGACGGGUGAGUAACACGUGGGAACGUGCCUUUUGGUUCGGAAUAACUCAGGGAAACUUGUGCUAAUACCGAAUGUGCCCUUCGGGGGAAAGAUUUAUCGCCAUUAGAGCGGCCCGCGUCUGAUUAGCUAGUUGGUGAGGUAACGGCUCACCAAGGCGACGAUCAGUAGCUGGUCUGAGAGGAUGACCAGCCACACUGGGACUGAGACACGGCCCAGAAUCCUGGGGGAGGAGGGAGUGGGGAAUCUUGCAAAAGGGGGGAAGGCCAGAAGCACCCAGGCCGGGAAAAUAAUGAUGUUGUAAGAGUUGAAAAUUUUUUUAACCGGGAGCAAUAAUGACGGUACCGGAAGAAGAAGCCCCGGCUAACUUCGUG
rnacentral:rRNA from 1 species